CCGACCUUAGGUCAGUUGGAAGAGCACAAGACUGUAAAGGGAUGCCAAUCUUGGGGUCGCCUGUUCGAACCAGGCAGGUCGGA